rnacentral:tRNA from 1 species
UUAAAUUGUAAAUUACUUUGGCAGAUUAGUGCAAUGAAUUUAGAAUUCAUAAAUGUAAAUUUUUUACAAGUAAUAC